CCUUUGCGCCCUACGAGAUCCCCGCCGCCGCUCUCUCGUCGGAGCUCUCUCUGCCGACGCUCUCAUCGCAUCUGCUCCCUCUGGCACCUCUCCCAUCUAAUCUCAACUCGCUCUCUCAGUUCUUCUUGUAACCAUCUCAAAUUUCAGUGUUACAGCUCAAGAUCUUGUUGACACUAUGCUUCUAAAUUUUCUUCUAAAUUUCUGAUAUCUUCACUCUUAACGAUGGAUCUGUAACGCCUCUACUCAAGAGCAUGACAGUGCAUAAUAUGUAUGUUGGAGAGGGUUCAGACUUCCAAUAUAAUAUAUAAAAGGGUGGCUUAGCAGUGGGGUUCUCUUGGUGACUUGACUACGUCUGUUACAUCGAUUCGAUUCGAUUGAUACAGAAGGAAUACUUAGGAUCUGCUAGAACUGGCGAUGGAUCUGUUAGACGAGAUCAAGUUGGUGGGGUCAAAAUACUCAGCUUGUUCAUCAGGGUUCACUGAAUUAUAUUAGUUUCCAGCAAUGGUAAAAGGAUUGGAGGAGUUAGUAAUCAAUUUUUAACCCUUUAAUCUGAGAAGGCUCAAAGUGAGUUGGAGCAUAGUCCAAUCUUCUCAUUCAGAACCAGAGAGUUGGAGCAUAGUCCAAUCACUAGUCUUCCACUACUACAGUACUAUCGAGAGUGCGUUUGAGCCUACAAGCUUCUAACUAAUAUUUUUCUCUUCAUGGAACAGUUGGUUGAAUCUAUUUUAAGCAAGGUUGUAGAAGAGUUCGAGCAUCAGAUUGCAAGCAGAGGAGGUGAACAGUUACAACCAAAAAUAACUUCAAGAGAUCCUGUUUCUCAAAGCAAUGGGUCUUCAAGAGGUGAACAGUUACAACAAAAAAUUUCUUGAAUGUAAGUAGAAUUGUCCAAUGAACAUGACAGCAUAGCAAAGAAAUAGGAAAGUGCUGUUGAUUCCUUUUAUUGUUGAUCUUUUUCUAGUCAUAUUCUAGCACUUGUUCUGUUUGGUUUAUUUUCUUGAGAGUAAAAACUAAAACGAGGUUCAGGGCCACCUAAUUAGAAGAUAAGAGGUGAAUUUAAUACAUUAACAGAUGUAAUACAUUCGGUUUUUUUUAAAGAUAAUAUAAAAAAAUUAUUUUUACUGUGGCAUGUAAUUGGAUGUAUUUGUAAAUUAAAUUCUUUUAAACAUUAGCCUGAAAAGAAAAUGUGCAAGUUUCAUUGAACCUUGAAAAGGGAUCGAGAUGGGGGGAGGGGCGGCGGGGGGCACCCGAUUUCUUCUACAAGGAAGCUCAGCGCCUUGGCUAUGUUGCUCGCUCUGCCUUCAAGGUUCUCGAAACUUCUGUUUCUUCUUCUUCUUCUAACUAACUAACUAACUUUGAGUUAACAGCUGGUACAGAUACAAAAGCAGCACAAGCUCAUCAAGGCUGGCUCAUUCGUACUGGACCUCGGCUGUGCUCCGGGUGCUUGGCUCUCCACAGCAAAAAGGGUUUUCUGUUAUACUUUCGGACAUGUGCCCUUUGGUUUCUGGAAUCACAACUAAAGAUGCAGCUUUGUCAGUGGAGCUAGGGAUGCGAGCAUUGGAUUUGGCUGUUGGCAGAAGAGCUGCAUUUUCAGUUUAUGCUGACGGUGAUGAUAAUCAGGAAGGUGAGCAAAGCCAUGAUGAUCCGUCCACUUUGGCGGAAACUGGAGUGUUGCAAGUUGGUGGGAACCUUCUUAUAAAGCUUUUGGAGAGCGAAGAUGCAAAAGAACAAUCUUCAUGAACUCUGGGCCCUUCUCAAUUUUCUUCUGCCUGAAAUUUUCAGCUCUGCUGAAACUUUUGAUGAAUGGUUCCAAAUAUCAGAUUUCUGCAAGGACCUGAAACUGAUCGAGCUACAGUUAAAAAAAUUAGAGAGGCCAUUGACAACCAAAUAGAAAUUACUGUGCAGCUCAUUAAUUAUCAAAGAGUGGUAACAAUUAAUAUAAGCUUCUUUAAUUCUUGCAAUUCUCUUUAUUUUACAUUGGAUAAUUGUUGGUAUGUAUCUAUGUUAAUCAUGUAAAACAAACUGCUGAAAAUGUUGAUGAUGCUGUUAGAGAACUUCCAGAUGCUAAUAUGGUAAUUAAUUAUAUUUAUUUGGCCACUCUUGUUAUUAUUGUGUUUCUCUGCCUCCCUUAUCAGCUUAUACAUUGGCAUAUAUAAUGCCCUUGUUUAUCAGCUUAUACCAAUUUCAGGGAAGUUGAAAGGCUUUCCAAAAUCCUUUUUAUAUAUACAAAAAGGUAUUUAUUGCAAUUGUUUCCUUGGUUGCAAACUAAUAGUGCUAUAUGAUCAAUGAAUAAACAAAUGAUUUGAUUAUACAUACAGUGAUAACUAUGCAGAAUCCACUUUUUAGGACAGCUUUCUGAUGAAUGGUUAUGUUCUAAAUACUGGCCGUGCAGCUCAAGGAAUGCCUCUAAACAGCUGGAUUUACCAAGUGAAUGUUAACAACACAUUCAAGUCAGGAAGUGAUGCAGUUUUAAGUGCUUAAUAGGCUUUGGCCUAUGAUUGGUCCCUUGUGAGAUGAAGGAUAUUGGCAUCAUCAUCAUCAUCAAAACUCAAAUGUUGAUUCGUUGAAUUGUUUAUUGGUUUCAAUAUUCUAUCAUCCAUCCAUCCACCGAUCAUAUAUCCAGACACAAGGCAUAGUUUUCACUUUAUGACAAGCUUUGGAGAUUUCAUCACAAUGUGUGCCAGCACAAUAUGGGCUUGCUUUGGGGCUUCUUUGUUUAGCAAAAGAUUUCAUGAACCUGGGAGCAUUUAAGUGGGGGGUUUCUUUAUUAGAGGAAGCGUCUGAGGUUGCAAGAGCAAGUGCUUAUUCUGUUAGGAAUGUCUCAUGUAGGAAAACGCUGCCAACACUACCACCGAUGCAACUGUCUCAUUUAGAGGAAGAACCUAUGCAGUUCCAGCAUGAUCUGUUUAGCUUGGCUUGGCUUGGCAUGGCAAAUAUACACGCCAAGAGAUUUUUUAUUCCAUAAGAUUUGACUACAUACUCUUUUAAUUAAAUAUUUAUUUGUGAUGAAUUAUAGUUGAUGUAUCAACACACUUUGAUGUAUAGUUGUUACUUAAUAUUAUAGUUAAUGUAUUAAUACACUUUGUUUAUGUUUUGAAUUAUAUUAAUUUACUUGUUUA